rnacentral:misc_RNA from 1 species
CGAUCGAUCUUUUCAAAAUGAGUUGCUACAGUAUCUGGCCAGCAGACGGCGCUUCCUUCUUUCUACAGCUACAACUUCUCCUUCCGCAUAGAAGGAAGAUGGACGAUUUAAAGUGAUCAUCAAACGGUCCGCGCCGGAACUCCGUUUGCGCUUCUCUCUCCCUUCUUAGAGAAAUAAUAUUUUUGUUUUUUGUUAAGUGAAUAUUUGGAGUACAGGUGAACCUACACGGAUGUGCCUAGCUUCAAACAUUACUAAACUCUUUGCUCUGAAAUUGUAAGGGCGUUAAAAAAAGGAGUGAUGGGCCCUUGAGAUGUCGUUGCCCUCCAGACAGAGGUCCCUGCGCGAGCGAAUUCAAUCAGCCUCACGUGGAAUCGGUAUCUCGUGGCAGGGGAAAAAGUCGAAGAGCUAUCACAGCAAAGAGUCUUUAGCCGAAGCCCAAUCUAGUGAAACUGAUUCUGAUGCAAUUCAAAAAGAAGAACAAAAAACCGAACAGACAGACAAGAACAACCCAAUUGAAAAUUCAGAAAACAAUCGAAAAUCAUCAGAUUCAUCAGUAACGAGAGAUGAAGGCUCUGCUGGGGCUGAGAAGAAACUUCUGGGGCGCACCCUCACCCAACCCCAAGGCACAGAGCAAUAUAAAGUGGCAGAUUCGGAAACACUGGCGGGUAUCGCUGCCCGGUUUGACACAACGCCUUCAGAACUCGCCAAGCUCAAUAGACUCGCUGCCCGUAUAGUCUUCCCUGGACAGCUCCUUUUUGUACCGGAAAAGAGAAAUCGUGGAACAGAAAGUGGAGAAGGACAUGAUACGUCUGACACACUACUACCACCACAAGGGGAUGAGAGAAGAGCGAGCGUGACCGAUUCUCUUCGUAUUCCUUAUAGACGACACAGUGAGAGGACGCAUAGAUUCCUGAAAGUGAAAGCGAGACAUUUCACUGAUGGACAGGGCGUUGUAGCUGGCGUGUUAAUAAUUACUCCCAAUGCUGUGAUGUUUGAUCCCAAUGUCUCCGAUCCUUUAGUAAUUGAACAUGGGGUGGAGAGUUAUGGUGUCAUAGCACCUUGCGACAUGUUGAUGAGGGCUGCUAUCUAUUUUGAUAUAGCUCACAUGAAAGUUCAACAUGCCGCUGCUGAGACAACUCCCAGGCCAAAAGCAGAGGUGUAUUUCGGCAAAAUGACAGAAGAGGCUUUAGCUUAUGAAGAAGAAAUGAGAAGAGAUUCUUCGCAAGAGAAAGCACAAUUUGCACCUUCUGUCAACGAAGAUACUCAGAAUAUAUCUCCUCCUCUUAUAAAAGAUAUACCAACACCAUCGACUACUCCAGUCAAUGAAACAAGCCCAGAAAAUUCCCUUCCCGUUGAAAAUGAGGUUUCUUCGGAGCCUAUUAUAGGACCAACGGCCGUUGAUUCCGUAGACAGCUUUGAUGAAGAAGUAAGCAACGCUUUCGCUGCUUCAGAAAUUCAGCAGGAGAAGCAGCAGCCCUCUGAGAGCCGCAGAGAACGAGUGCUGAAGCGGCUUUCCUACCCCAUGGAGUCUAUCACCUCCAUCUCUCGUAUUCUCACCUCGUCGCCCAAGUCUUUCGUCGACUUUUCUGGAUCCCUUUUCUCUGGAUCUGUGAAGGGUGGCUCCGAGGAGGAAGAAGUCAAAGAGGAGGUGUGCGAGGAAGGGGCAGUGGAGGGUGGUCCCAGCAGGUAUCAGAAUCUUGUGGAAGAAAAGCCGGAAAUCUUCGAGGCACUCGACAAAUUGUUGAGCCAGAGGAAACCAGGUGAGGAUACAGAAGGUCCUCCCCUGUACCUGUGUUUGAGGAUGGGCAUACCGAAGGAGCGAAAGCCCCAGCCUUCGCCUGUCCUUUCUUACGGAAAGAAACGAGCACGUUCAGAAUAUUGGUUUUCUAUUCCACGAAGCAGGGUAGAAGAUUUGUAUAAUUUCCUACAACAAUGGAUACCAAGUCUCUAUGGUGAUGUAGAUGACGUGGAUCCUGAUGAAGCUGGCUUCAUACCUAUUGACGAUUCUGCUCCUGAUGAGGAAGAGGAGGAGGAGGAGACAGAAGAAAAGCAAAGUGAGGAUGGGGGAGAUAAAGAGGCUCCAAGAUCUUUCCUCAAACUAGUGGAAGAGCACUUCGGUUUUAAAAGUGGUAUCAGUCCUGGGGACUGGGAAGUAUUAUCGUUGGGAGAGAUGGAAAAGUUGGAUUAUAGCGAUUUAGAACUUCCUCUUCCUGACCUCCUAGCGCCUUCAGAGAUCUUCCAAGAAGACCACAUUAAAGAGGUAGCUGUAUACCCUGUUACCUGCAAGGGCGGUUGGGUACCCGUGGACUAGAAUUUAUUCGACGUCAUCGGAUGGUUUUCACCUGAAGAGCCUUUAUAGGAAAAUGACCGAAUUCGAUAGUCCUGUCAUUCUUGCCAUAGAAGAUACAGAUGGAGCUGUGUUCGGAGCUUUGCUGUCAUACCCCCUCAGGCCCAGUGAUAGUUUUUAUGGAACUGGGGAAUCUUUUCUGUUCACAUUCCACCCAGCUUUUAAG